rnacentral:rRNA from 1 species
UACGUAGGGUGCGAGCGUUGUCCGGAAUUAUUGGGCGUAAAGAGCUUGUAGGCGGUCUGUCGCGUCUGCUGUGAAAAUCCGGGGCUCAACCCCGGACUUGCAGUGGGUACGGGCAGACUAGAGUGUGGUAGGGGAGACUGGAAUUCCUGGUGUAGCGGUGAAAUGCGCAGAUAUCGGGAGGAACACCCGUAGCGAAGGCGGUUCUCUGGGCCGGUACUGACGCUGAGGAGCGAAAGCGUGGGGAGCAAACAGG